rnacentral:rRNA from 1 species
GGGGGACCUUCGGGCCUCUUGCCAUCGGAUGUGCCCAGAUGGGAUUAGCUAGUAGGUGGGGUAACGGCUCACCUAGGCGACGAUCCCUAGCUGGUCUGAGAGGAUGACCAGCCACACUGGAACUGAGACACGGUCCAGACUCCUACGGGAGGCAGCAGUGGGGAAUAUUGCACAAUGGGCGCAAGCCUGAUGCAGCCAUGCCGCGUGUAUGAAGAAGGCCUUCGGGUUGUAAAGCACUUUCAGCGGGGAGGAAGGGAGUAAAGUCAACCCAUUUGCACAGUUCGGUAGGUCUCCCAAUUA